CAAACUUGCGCGCCAAAGACGGAGCCACCUGGCGUACUGGUGGAAAGCGCAGACUUCAGAGCCACACCCGUAGUUAAGUAUUCGGACUCUGAGAUUCCAGGGUGGGGCCCAGGCCAUCCGCGUUUUCACCCAGCAUCGUGUGAUUCGGCAGCAGGUGGUCUGUGGCCCGCACUUUGAGAAACCCUGGUGCAGAAGGUUCAUGGUUAGUGGUUCUCUCUGGAAGGAACAGUCUAAGGUUUGUAGGACUUGCGUUCCACCUACCAAAGCUAAUCGAGUUAGAAGGCUCCAAACUGAGGUGUCAUUUCUCAUUACGGUGGUGAGAGGACGGGACCACACACUGUGAAGUCUUCGUUCCCACAUCCCACACUUCAUUCUUGCCGCCUAAGUUGUCGCCGUGGGACUAUUGAAAGGGUAUCAGCGAUAUUCAUCUUUCCUAUAAAUGGGAUCUGCUUUCUACAGUUUCCUGCCAGAUGUGUAAAGAUUGCAAGAAUUGAAGCUCUAAUAUCCUGGAUAGUGCCUUUACCCUCAAGCUGACAGCAAAUGGCUUUAACGGUGCUAGGUAUCACAACUCUACACAAUGUCCAGAAGAAGAAAAGAAGCUUUCUCUUCUCAGGGUUCUCUCAGCAGUGAGUAAAGUCUUCCUAGUAACCUACUUCCAGACUAUCCUUACUCACAUGUCAUUUGGGUUACAAACCCAUUCCUCAACCACUGUUAGUUAAAAAAUAAAGUCCAUUCCCUAUGCCAAUCAGAUGCACCCCUGGAGCUGAGGAUGGGGCCAGAUUCAUCUCAGGCACAUCGCUAUGAGGGACAACACACAUCUCAAGAAAGUCAGUAUAGUCAUGUGUCACUUAAUGACAGGAAUACGUUCUGAGAAAUGCAUCGUUAGGCAGUUUCAUCGUGUGAACAUCACAGACUGUACUUACACAAACAGGGAUUGUAUAUAUACACUCAGGCUAUAUGGUAUAGCCUACUGCUCCUGGGCUACAAAUCUGUACAGCAUGUUACUGUACUGAAUACCGUAGGCAGUGGUAACACAUGGUAUUUUUAUAUCUAAACAUCUGAACAUAAGAGUACAGUAAAAAUACGCUAUUAUAAUCUUCUGGGACCACUGUCAUAUAUAUUUGGUCCAUUGUUGACCAAAACGUCAUUAUGCACUGCAUGUCUAUAUUCUGGUAGGCAGGAAAGGAUAACAGAUACUGAGAAAGAAAAAUGGCCAAUAGCAUCCACCAAAAGCAGGUAGCAGCAAAAGAAGGGAGGCUGAAGGGAAGUUGUAAGGGACUUUCACAGAGCACCAACAAACAGGCUGGCUGAAACAAAGGGUUAUGUGGGGAAUUAAUAGGAGGUACAACCUGAAGAAUCAAGUAGUUACAAUUCUGCCAACUAUAUAGGUCAUCUCUAGAGAGACUGCCAAAUCUGGAACACCCCAGACCUACAGAAUCAGAAUCUCUAGGGCAGCACUGUCCAAUAAAACUUUCCAUGAUGCUGGAAAUAUUCUUUAUCAGCACUGUCCAAUCAGUAGGUGAAGAAGUUAAUGUUCAUCUUUCAUUUAACUACCUUAAAUGUAAAUUUCUUUUCUUCUUUUUUUCGUUCUUUCUUCCUUUUUUUUUUUUUUUUUAAUUUUGAAAUGGAGUUACACUCUUGUUGCCCAGGCUGGAGCGCAAUCUCAGCUCACUGCAACCUCCGCCUCCCAGGUUCAGGAGAUUCUCCUGCCUCAGCCUCCCGAGUAGCUGGGAUUACAGGUGCCCGCCACCAUGCCUGGCUAAUUUUUUGUAUUUCUUUAGUAGAGACGGGGGUUUCACCGUGUUGGCCAGGCUGGUCUGGAACUACUGACCUCAGGUGAUCCACCUGUCUCGGCCUCCCAAAGUGCUGGGAUUACAGGCGUGAGCCACCAUGCCCAGUCUAAAUUUAAAUUUAUAUAGCCACAUUACGUUAUGUAAAUAGGACAGCCCAAAUCUAGAACAGCCACAGAACCUAUAUGAUUCUGAUAUGCAGCUGGUUCCACUGAUCAACAUUUGCCCAACAUGUUCACAAGGAUAAACUGAAAAACAAUCAUACGUCUUACUACAACCCAGUUACAGGAUUUCCUUCUUCUACCUCAAAAAAAGGAAAUGUUAUUCUGACAAGACUUUGCUUUUUCGUUUUGUUUUUGUUUUAGAGACAGAGUCUCGUUCCAUCGCCCAGGCUGGAGCGCAGUGGUGCGGUCAUAGCUCACUGCAACCUCUAACUCCUGGGCUCGAGCAAUCGUCCCACCUCAGCCUCCCAAGUAGCUGCGACUACAGGUGCACACUGCCAUACCCAGCUAUGAGACUAAUGAAUCCACAUUGCCCCUUGUGAUCACUACAAAAGCUUUCAGACCAUCUGUUUAAUAAAUUCUCAAAGAAUUUUUCCAGGAAUUAAAGUCAAGUUAACCAGUCUAAAGUUUGUAGAAAUUUUUCUUCUUUAUCACACAUAUUUUGGAAGAUCAUAGAAUACCACAUAUUCUACUUUUAAUGCCUUUUUAAUUUUCUAUUUAUUAUUAUAUAUGUUUUGGGCGUUUGUUUUGCUAUUUUUUGUUUGGGUGUAAGUUUAGUCCCUUUUUUCUUUUGAUGAGAUCACCUUUAUAAUUGAACAUAUUUAAACCUCAGUUUAAAUAUGAGGGCACGGAGGCUCACACCUAUAAUCCCAGCACUUUGAGAGGCCAAGACAGGUGGAUCACUUGCAGUCAGGAGUUCGAGACCAGCCUGGCCAACUUGGUGAAACCCCAUCUCUACUAAAAAUACAAAAAAAUUAGCUGGGCGUGGUGGCGCAUGCCUGUAGUCCCAGCUACUUGGGAGGCUGAGGCAGGAGAAUUGCUUGAAUCCAGGAGGCGGAAGUUGCUGUGAGCCAAGAUUGUGCCACUGCACCCCAGCCUCGGCGACAGAGGGAGACUCCGUCUCAAAAAACAAACAAACAAAAAAAUUAAAUAAAUAAAUAAACUUCAGUGUCUUUUGUCUUUUUUUUUCUUCUUUUGUCAAUGUCUUAACAUCCCCUAAGAAAGAUUAUGAAAUUAGUAUGUAUUCCCUUUCUCCUACCUCCUUUUCUGUUCUGUAUUUAUUAUUUAGUAUUAUCAAUUCAGGUGUUCUUUUUAACUAUUACAAAUUCAAAUACAUUUUCUACCCUUCCAAAUGAAAAACCACUCUUUGAUAAAGAUUAUAGCAAGAUAAUACCUGAACAGAUAUACAUUCUGUUAUCUAUAAACAUAGCACUAUUGGUUCCAAUGAGACUUUAUCCUUUUCUUGUCCUUCUUGUUCCCCAGAUAAUUUUAAAGCCCCUUUAAAAUAACCUUUUGGUUAUUUUAGAAAAUUUCAGAGGCCUUAGCUCUAUCUGCCUUUGGCUUUUUUUUUUUUUUUUUUUUUUUUUUGAGACAGAGUCUCGCUCUGUUGCCAGGCUGAAGUGCAGUGGCAAGAUUUUGGCUCACUGCAACCUCCGCCUCCCAGGUUCAAGCGAUUCCCGUCUCAGCCUCCCGAGUAGCUGGUACUACAGGCGUGCAACACCAUGCCCAGCUAAUGUUUUGUUAUUUUAGUAGAGAUGGGGUUUCACCAUGUCAGCCAGGAUGGUCUCGAUCUCCUGGCCUCGUAAUCCUCCCUCCUCGGCCUCCCAAAGUGCUGGGAUUACAGGUGUGAGCCACCGCACCCGGCCUCUUUGGCUUUCCUAACUAAUUUCACAGGUUUGUCCCUGUGACCUUUUAAUAUUUGAAAUUUAUUUACAAAUUGUACCUUGCAAGUCCUUUAAACUCUGGGCUCAUAUAACUGUUUUUGGUUAUCAGCUCUACAGAUGUCAUUCCCAUUCACAUUUGGAUCAUAAAAAUUUAUCAAUAUAAUGGUUUGUUUAUUAAGCUACCCUUUUAAACAUCUCUCAGAAGAUUAAGUUUCAUAUCUGUAUUCCCUCUGAACUUUCUACUACUAUCUCAUUUUUAUUUUAGUUUAUUUUAAAAUUUUUGGGGGACAGUCUCACCCUGUCACCCAGGCUGGAAUUCAGUGGUGCAAUCAUAGCUCACUGCAGCCUCAAACUUCUGGGGUCAAAGGAUCCUUCUGCCCCAAAUAGUUGGAACUACCAGCAUGCACUCCCAUGCCCAGUAAAUUUAAAAUAUUUUUUUCUUCUUCUUUUUCUUUUUUUUCUUUUUUUUUUUGGUAGAGAUAGGUUCUCACUAUGUUGUCCAGGCUAAUCUCAAACUCCUGGCCUCAACUGAUCCUCCUGCCUUGGCCUCCCAAAGUGCCAAGAUUAUAGGCAUGAGCCACUGUGCCCAGCAUACUACCUCAUUUUUAAAGCAGUAGGUACAAGACUCACUAUAUCCAACAUUUCCCAAUUUGGUCAUCAUUGAUUCUAAAAUAUGACCACCUCUUUCAAGUUUUAUAACUUUUAAAUCAUUCUUCUUGUUUGCCAUAACUUGAUCCAAAGUAAAAGCUCCCUUAGUUUUCAGCCUUUGACAUAAGUAUUGUUCAUUUCAGGUAUUUCUUCAACUGAAGACCUUUACAGAUACUCAGAUGACUGAAAUCCUCUUAUCACUGGCUGGACAUGGUGGCUCACGCCUGUAAUCCCAGCACUUUGGGAGGCUGAGGCAGAUUCAUCAUCUGAGGUCAGGAGUUCGAGACCACCCUGGCCAACAUGGUGAAACCCUGUGUCUACUAAAACCACAAAAAAUUAGCUGGGCAUUGUGGCAGGCGCUUGUAAUCCCAGCUAUUCCGGAGGCUGAGGCAGGAGAAUCACUUGAACCCAGGAGGUGGAGGUUGCAGUGAGCCGAGAUGGUGCCAUUGCACUCCAGCCUGGGCAGCAAGAGUGAAACUCCAUCUCAAAAAAGAAAAAAAAUCCUCUAUUACUAUAUAACUACUUUUAUGUACCAAUUUGUAGUCUCAAAAAUAUACCAUCAAUUUAUUAUAUCCAGUGGGGGAAAUUUGUAAAUAUUCAAAAUACCAUUUUUCCCUUUGCCCUCUCACCCAAGUUUAUUCUGUGCUUCAAUAAAUUUAUGGUUCUAUACAGA